rnacentral:rRNA from 1 species
UGAACGCUAGCGACAGGCCUAACACAUGCAAGUCGAGGGGCAGCACAAGGAGCAAUCUGAGGUGGCGACCGGCGCACGGGUGAGUAACACGUAUGCAACCUGCCUGUAAGCGGGGAAUAACCCGUUGAAAGACGGACUAAUACCGCAUAAUACUAAAUUACUGCAUGGUAAUUUAUUUAAACAUUUAUGGCUUACAGAUGGGCAUGCGCAUGAUUAGCUAGUUGGAGAGGUAACGGCUCCCCAAGGCAACGAUCAUUAGGGGUUCUGAGAGGAAGGUCCCCCACACUGGUACUGAGACAUGGACCAGACUCCUACGGGAGGCAGCAGUGAGGAAUAUUGGUCAAUGGACGAGAGUCUGAACCAGCCAAGUCGCGUGCAGGAAGAAUGUCCUAUUGGAUUGUAAACUGCUUUUGCAGGGGAAUAAAGUGCAUCACGUGUGAUGUUUUGUAUGUACUCUGCGAAUAAGGAUCGGCUAACUCCGUGCCAGCAGCAGC